ensembl:lncRNA
GCUGUGAUUAUUGUAAACCCAACUUAAUUCACAAGAAACCUCCACUUUAUGUCACAGAAUUCUGUACAAAAAAAUAGAAUGAAUCUGUUUCAGUGGUUUGUCAGUACCUAUCCUUCAGGAUGAACAUAAUUUUUUUGUGACUGGAAAACUCUUCCAAACUUGAGUGAGCAGAGCUUUCUGGAGCAAUGCAUAGGAAAAGAGCUUUGAGAGGAGGUGGCAAAAUAACAAGAAUUUGCUCAGAAUAAGCAACGUAACUUAAGUCAGAUUUAAGAUUGUGUAGCAUCAUCUUUCAACUCAUAUUGGUUUUAUUAACAGUUGAGGGGAAAUGCAGGUACGUUCUGUUAAGCAGCCUAACAGUUUAUGUACUCUUGAAUUCUCUGCUCAGAUAUGCUGGGAAAAAUUACAAGAAGGAAAAAUAAUAAACAAUAACUGAGAGAUGAAAGAUUCUUCUGUGUCUAAUAGCUGAAGCAAAACAAGAAUUUGUCAGUGACAUAAAAUUAAAUGAAAAAUUGAAUGAUUGUUCAAAAUUGACUUAUUCUGGUUUAUUUACUGUAAUACAAUUAGCACUUUCAAAUAUUUGAAUCACUGUGUAGAAAAAAAAAUCACUGUGAAACGGAGCUAGUUUAUUUUAUAUAUAAUAUGUUAAAAUAAAUUAUCCUGUUUGUGAGUUGGUUUUAAGUAGUCUGAUUACUGAGAAGGUAUAAACAGAAGUAUAUAUACAAGAACUACACUUGGAUGUGAAUUAGGGAAGGUGAAGCUGUACAGUUGUACUGUUUAAGCUUCUUAUAAGAGUGUUGUCUGGCAAGAGGAGAAGUAAGAUUUUUUGUUCACUUGCCCCUUUCUUCUUGGUAUGAUUUUUCUACAGUAGCCCUAUGUUGCCUGAGGACAUUCUCAACCCAACAGUACUGCAUUACUGGUGGAAAGAACAAAACAAAACAAAACAAAAAACAAAAAAGUCAGAAGGUUAGAAUGGUAUCUGUGUGGUUUGUUGUCACUUCUACAGUAACAGACUGUAGUAGUCAGUUACACAUUCCAGGACACUUCCUCAAAUGAUGUAAAUCAGUGAAGCUUCAGCAGAGACAAGUGAUCCAUACUCAUUUACAACCUCUAAAGAUUUAGAUGUCAAUCUGCAAGGUGAAUAUCAUGUUUCUCUUUUCCUAAAGCAAAGGCAGGCAAACAUUUCCCAGUGUAGAUGAUAAUUUUUCAUAUCUCAAAACUAGAGAAGUUAAAAUGUGAUACAUUUCCUAUGAUGGAAACAGAUACCGAAGAAGAGUCCAAAUCUCUCCACAUGUUGAUCCAUCUCACUCAUCAUGCUCUCUAUAUCACAUCCAAAAUGAAGAACUCUUCUGCAGAGAUCACUUCAGGAAAUCUUCUAGAAAGAAAAUAAAAUCAAGUACACACAAGAAGAGACUACCAGAAAGAUAUGUGCUCUGUUCUCAGUCUAGUGAAAAGUGAUAAAAAAAGAUGUAGAUCUGCAGUUUCCGACAGGACAGCUUAUUCACACCAAGCUGAAGGAAAGUUAGGUUUGUACUGUGGGUGCUUUGGAUGGACAUGGACUCUGGGAGGAUUCCAUUACAAACAUACAAUCAAACAAGCAAAAGUAUAGCUAUUUCCACUGGAAUUCUUGAGAUGCAGUUCUGGGGAGAAGGUUAUAUUACAUGAAUGCGGCUUUUACACAGACACUGUUUUAGAAGUGUGGUUCAAAGACCUGCCAUGUGGAAACAAAUACAAGCAGAGCUCAACUACUGAUGGGUGCUAAAGGAUGAAAUAAGGUGAGCGGAGCCUGAAAUUCAGGACACAUUCCAGUGUGUUACUUGGAUUCAUGUCACUGUUUGUUUUUUUUUAAUUUCUUGCUUCAUUCUGAUCCUCAAUGAAGCAUUGGUAGGUCUUGUCAGACUCUGGAAUAUUAAGCAAGAAACCCAGUGUUGGUAGAAGGACUUUUUUUGUAGAGAAGUUCAGUUGAAAAGCAACAGACAAACAAAAGUUGAAAUCGAGAAAUUAGGAAUAACUCAUGUAGCAAAAAAAAAAAGAGUUAAGACUUUAAAAACACUACGAUUUUCACAUUGGUUUCAUAAUGAAGAUAGCGAUUUUGAUAAUUUGUCUGCCUUAUCCCUGUAAAUGUUUAUAUCAACUGAGAAAAAAAAUAGAUACCUCAGAGAUGUGGUGUUCAGACAAGUUUCAUGAAAAUCAGUCACUGAAUACAUGGGAAGACUCAAAAGAAGGCUCUCCUGACAGAAGGGCUGAAGCCUGAGUUCACCAUUGUUUCUUUUUUAGCUAGAGGGCAACCAGAGUGCACAUACAGGCUGGGUAGCCAGCACGCUCAGUUUGACACUAGCCACAGCAUGUUGCAGAUGCCUUUACCAGGACUUAACAUAGGGCAAAAGGAUCUGGGAUUUCAGUAUAAGAUGUGACAAAAGAGAAGAGAAUUAGAGACAUUUCAGGGAGAUAUAAUAUGCAGUGCGGGCAAAAGUUUGUGGAAAUGGGUUUUUACUACCUGUGUUGUUUGAGGAAUGACUUACCGAACGUGUAUGAAAAAGCUGUAGAGGGGGGUUUAUGGCAUCAGCAGUGAUAAUAUGAUAAACUAUGAUAAUCAUUAAAAAACCUACACUAUUUUUCCAGUGUGAUGGAGGGAAAAGUCUUUUUUUCUUCCUCUCUGAAAAAAUCACAUUUUUUUUCCAAUAAUAUCAUACAAUAGAUUAAAAAAGAAUGUUUCAAUUACAUAAAACUAGUAUACACUUUUAAAAGCAUGUUAUACAUAUGCUGUUAAUUUCACUUUAAAGCUCCAGGGGAAGGUAGAAGUUUAUUUGAAUCUGAGGGUGAUGCCAUCUGUGAUUUGAAUUUUAAUAACACUCCCUUGAAGCUCUCAGGAAUUGUUUUGCGUUAGGAAUAAGAAAUUCAGAAAUAAGGGAGUGGCUGACAAAUAUUUUGUUCACAAACAAUGCUCUCUAAUAGUGGCAGUAGUAAUCAUGUUAAGUGUUUCAAAUCCGGAGACUGAAGAGAAAUGUCUAACAUGAGAGGGCUUUUCAGUCCGUGAACCAGGCAGAGGAUGAAGCAACCAAGACUAGAGUCAGUAUAUCAAAGGGUGCAAAACCUGUCUGGAGCUUGUUUAAUAAACUGGCAUCAAAUUUUCAAAAACAGCCUAAAUGAUAGGAAUGGAGAUAAGAGAGGACAUGCGGCUUGUAGCUCCUCUCCUCUAAUCCGAAUGCUGCACCAGCUGUGUGAAUAUGAAUAGUACUACAGUCAUGUAUUCAUGCGUAAUAUUUUCACUUUUGCAAAAUUUGUGCUCAGCAAUGAAGCUUUUAAAAAUACAAAUUGAAACUGAAGACUUCAUUUGGAUAACAGUGUGGAUUUUUACUUUAUUUGUUUGUUUUCUUAUGUUUGGUUUGAAGGAGAACUGAAAGAAUGAAAAAGAAACAAUUUUACAUCAAGAUGGAAUAUGUAUUUCAGUAGUUGUUAAGUAUAGCUGAGUUCUGUUCUAGGAAAUUAAAAUAUUUUUCUUUAAUUCUUCAAAUUUCAGAGUGGUCUUUUCCUUGGUAUGGCAACAUAAAAUGGAAAGUGUUGUCAUAAAGCGGAAAAAAACACUUUCUAUUAAAAUGUGUUAAAGUAUCUCAAACAUUUCAGCUUCUCUCCUCUUUUCUUGAUCAGAGCUACUCAAUAUUUUGAUUGUAAAUCAUGAACAUUUCAAUUUCUGUCAAACUGCACUUUUCAACAGUUAAUCCACUUAGAGAUAUUAGGAUGCUUUUUAUACCAUAGCACGUAGUUGCCCUGUCAGAUUAACCCAUUACUCUGAGAAUAUGAAGAUGUUUCUAAAACUUUGUCUAUCCAUAACCAGAUGUCUUAUGAUUUAUGUCUCUUCAUAAAACUAUUUGCAGUUGGAGAUAAAUCAAAUAUUAAUGUUCCAUAUGUGGCUAAUGCAAAAAUAAAUAAUGUAGUUGGAACAGAAACUUAUGCAGAUUCUACAACACGUAAUAAGUGAAAAAUGCACUUUUGCAUGAAAAAAAAAGCAAGUAAAUACAUUAUGAGAAACUUAUGUAAUACUGAAGAACUGUAACCAAGGGGAUAAAAUGAUAUUUGGAAGCACACAAUUAAUUGCAAGGCUGGAUAUUUAAUGUUAUCACUAAUUACAUCAGAAAGAAAUGAUCCUUUACUAAUAGAUGAAAGUUGAUAUAACAAGAGAAUGCUAGAGUCUGAGCGCAGUGUACCAUGUGUUGGAGCCACUGGUUACACUAAAAAACAGCUAGAAAGUGCUAUCUCGACUAGUGCUUAAGUGUAAUAAAAUAUUUUUUUUUAAUUAAAAAGAAAAAAAAAAGAUCCUGCAUGUAAAGUUAUAGAAAAAUAUUUUCAGAGAUGAUCUUUAUAUACUAAAACUCUUAGAAGAAUUACUUUUAGAAGAAUGGAGGGCAGACAUAAAUUUCUCCAGUAAAAACAAAGCCAGGAACUGCAUCAGUUACCUGAGUGGUUAUUAUUAUUACCGACAGAUUGGGCCAUCAGUCUUUCAGUUUAAAACAAAUAAAUACUCAAACUGAGAAAUUCCACACAUAUCUUCUAAAUCACUAGGAAUGGUAAUAAUAAUAAUAAUAAUAAUAAUAAUAAUAGCCUUCUUUUCAUGAACUGGUAUUCAUAUAUGCUUGACUACUACUGUUCAGAUCUUGAAACAUUAUUUUCAAUCGAUGCAGUGGUACAUUGUUAGAAGUAAAAAGGGAAAACGUACUUUAACUAUCAUAUACACUUUCUGUAACACAAUAAAGGCAUAAAUAGACUGCUCAUAACGGUGAACUUUGAAAUACUUUGAACCUAAAACAAUUUUUCUUUUUGCCUCUGUGUAGGGAUAUGCAGAUGAUUUAGUGAAGAAAGUUGUUUUUUAUACAGAAUGUUUUUUUGGAUGUUGUUCUUGCUUGAGAGUUUCAAGAAUUGUUUCAAUAUGUGGGCUUUAAAUAUUGGAUUCGAUAUUCUUUUAAUUGGAUUUUUCAGAUGAUUUAGGCAUUCCAGUAUGUAUUUAUCUUCUAAAAAACACUCAACAGAAUUAAUCUACGAAGAAUACACAUACUAAAUAAUGAACAAAAUGAAAAAGCAUUAGUGUCAUUCUCCCUCUGCUGCUUGCUUUUCUU